GUGUAAAAGGACAGAGGUUAGCAUUUCCCUUCACAAAUAUGGAGGAGGCCUUCAGGUCUGAUGGUAUACAUACAGUUUAAGUCAUUGCCACCUAAUUUGUGGCACUUAACCACAAUUUGGG